GAUGAAGAACGUAGCGAAAUGCGAUAAGUAAUGUGAAUUGCAGAAUUCAGUGAAUCAUCGAAUCUUUGAACGCACAUUGCGCCCGCCAGUAUUCUGGCGGGCAUGCCUGUUCGAGCGUCAUUACAACCCUCAGGCCCCCGGGCCUGGCGUUGGGGAUCGGCGGAAGCCCCCUGCGGGCACAACGCCGUCCCCCAAAUACAUUGGCGGUACCGCCGCAGCUUCCAUUGCGUAGUAGCUAACACCUCGCAACUGGAGAGCGGCGCGGCCACGCCGUAAAACACCCAACUUCCGAAUGUUGACCUCGUAUCAGGUAGGAAUACCCGCUGAACUUAAGCAUAUCAAUAAGCGGAGGA
rnacentral:misc_RNA from 1 species